rnacentral:rRNA from 1 species
UGGGGAAUAUUGGACAAUGGGGGCAACCCUGAUCCAGCCAUGCCGCGUGGGUGAAGAAGGCCUUAGGGUUGUAAAACCCUUUCAGCGGGGAAGAUGAUGACGGUACCCGCAGAAGAAGCCCCGGCUAACUCCGUGCCAGCAGCCGCGGUAAUACGGAGGGUGCGAGCGUUGUCCGGAUUUAUUGGGUUUAAAGGGUGCGUAGGCGGUUAUUUAAGUCAGUGGUGAAAACCCUGAGCUCAACUGAGGGCUUGCCAUUGAUACUGGGUAACUUGAUUACCGUAUAGGUAGGCGGAAUUUAUGGUGUAGCGGUGAAAUGCAUAGAUACCAUAAAGAACACCGAUAGCGAAGGCAGCUUACUGGAUGGCGAAUGACGCUGAUGCACGAAAGCGUGGGUAGCGAACGGGAUUAGAUACCCGCGUAGUCC